rnacentral:rRNA from 1 species
AACCGAGUCUUAACCGGGCGUUAAGUUGCAGGGUAUAGACCCGAAACCCGGUGAUCUAGCCAUGGGCAGGUUGAAGGUUGGGUAACACUAACUGGAGGACCGAACCGACUAAUGUUGAAAAAUUAGCGGAUGACCUGUGGCUGGGGGUGAAAGGCCAAUCAAACCGGGAGAUAGCUGGUUCUCCCCGAAAGCUAUUUAGGUAGCGCCUCGUGAAUUCAUCUCCGGGGGUAGAGCACUGUUUCGGCUAGGGGGCCAUCCCGGCUUACCAACCCGAUGCAAACUGCGAAUACCGGAGAAUGUUAUCACGGGAGACACACGGCGGGUGCUAACGUCCGUCGUGAAGAGGGAAACAACCCAGACCGCCAGCUAAGGUCCCAAAGUCAUGGUUAAGUGGGAAACGAUGUGGGAAGGCCCAGACAGCCAGGAUGUUGGCUUAGAAGCAGCCAUCAUUUAAAGAAAGCGUAAUAGCUCACUGGUCGAGUCGGCCUGCGCGGAAGAUGUAACGGGGCUAAACCAUGCACCGAAGCUGCGGCAGCGACACUGUGUGUUGUUGGGUAGGGGAGCGUUCUGUAAGCCUGUGAAGGUGUGUCGUGAGGCAUGCUGGAGGUAUCAGAAGUGCGAAUGCUGACAUAAGUAACGAUAAAGCGGGUGAAAAGCCCGCUCGCCGGAAGACCAAGGGUUCCUGUCCAACGUUAAUCGGGGCAGGGUGAGUCGACCCCUAAGGCGAGGCCGAAAGGCGUAGUCGAUGGGAAACGGGUUAAUAUUCCCGUACUUGGUGUUACUGCGAAGGGGGGACGGAGAAGGCUAUGUUGGCCGGGCGACGGUUGUCCCGGUUUAAG